rnacentral:tRNA from 1 species
GGGGUAUUAGCUCAGUUGGCUAGAGCACCAGUAUCGCACACUGGAGGUCAUCGGUUCAAAUCCGAUAUACUCCAC